CCCCAGCUCCGAAAAAAAGAACCAAAAAAACAAACAAACAAACAAACAAACAAACGGGCUGGAGAGAUGGCUCAGUGGUUAAGAGCACUGACUGUUCUUCCAGAGGUUCUGAGUUCAAUUCCCAGCAACCACAUGGUGGCUCACAACCAUCUGUAAUGGGAUCUGAUGCCCUCUUCUGGUGUGUCUGAAAACAGUGAUAGUGUACUUAUAUAAUAAAUAAAUCUUUAAAA
rnacentral:lncRNA from 1 species